CAGCUGCCUUUGCCCAGAGGGCCCGGCUCCCAGCAGCGGAUGGGACUGCGUCGCUCUGAAGCCGUCGGAGAAGAAAGAAGAGACAGCAGUGGAACUUUGAGCAAGAGCGAAGAAGAGGAGCAGCAGCGUCGAGCUCAAGAGGGGGCACGACAGGGACCCUCUGGGCAAAUGCACCUCCCUGGCCCCCCCCGGGCAGGGAUCCGUAAGAGUCCGGCGGGCACCUUCAGGGUGCCCCGGCUGGCUUUGCGCUGGGCGACCACCCUGUAAGCAGGGCUGGGUCUUUGCUU